rnacentral:tmRNA from 1 species
GGGGGCGACUGGUAUCGACGGAGAUACGGAACCCUGUGGUGCAUGCCGGGUUGGUGAUCCCGUAAAAACUGCCAACGGCAAUUAACUGCCAACGACGACGUAGAACUAGCUUACGCAGCGUAAGUUACCCUGUCUUUGAGGUCGCCCAUCGCCUCGGAGAACAGGGCCAUCAAGAUGGGACCGCCUAGCGCAUUGUUGACUCGUGGUGCAUAGGUUAAAAAAUUACGGAUCGACCCUUUGAACGCUUUGUUCGUUCAGUUUUCUUAGGGUGCUAUAAGAAUGAACUAAGCAUGUAGAUCUACAGGCAGAAGGUUUCCGGACGCGAGUUCGAAUCUCGCCGCCUCCACCA